UUUUAUCUUUUUAUCUUUGAAUUAACUAAAUAUGAAAUUCUAUGGGAAUAUGAAUGAUUAUAGAUUUUACAAUGUUAUUUUUUAAUAGAUUUUACAAUGUUAUUUUUUUAAUAGAUUUUACAAUGUUAUUAAUCAUGAUGUACUCUUGAUUACAGGUAUAAUGGCUAAUGGAGUUGGAGGGUGUUGUAGAUAGGAAUGGGAUUGCAAGUACAAAGGGGCGAACUUGACGAAUGGAGCGACAUACUCUGAGCAAAGGGAUUUCGUCUCCUUUAUAUAGUGAAGGCGGGCGGAAUAGGCUUUCGAGGCACUUGCAAUGCAGAUCAGCCACGGGGCCCUUCAUAUAAGUUGUAAGCCAUGACGUCAUGUAGUCGGUGGUCGCUGGUACGAGCAGUGGUACGAGCAUCCACUGCAUAUGGCAUGAUGUCUUCUCUGGAAGUAGUUGUGCGUCUCCGGUUGAUUGACAUUGAUCUUCAUGCCCGUCAUAUUCCUUUUAUGACUUGAUUUUGCACCUACAAUAGCCCAUUUCUACAGGAAAAUAAUGAACAAGGACAUUUGCAAUGCUUUGCAAUUAUUAGUCGUAAGUAGGCAAAUCAAUGUGAUGGCCUCAGAAAAUUCAGAAAUUAUCAUGUGUAAGCAUGGCUAAAUCUGAGUGAAAAUCCACUCAUCAUGCAACGACGAGCUUUAGCCGUUUGACGCCUUCUGUGGUGAGCUGUUUUUAUUGUGACUCGGCCUCCUGCUUGUGCGGGCAAGGUCCUCAAUCCUGUGGCUUCUCACACAAUGAUCAUGAAUGUACAUAGUAUUUGGGAUCACUGAAAGUGGACGUGACAUCACAAGAGGAGUUUGAUUUGAUGGUGCUUCUCGAGCACCCGAUCUCGAGCUCUGAGGUGAAAACACUAGGUCUGACCCUAGUUGAUCAUACAUGAAAACGAGAGUGUUUUUGCGUUGUUACCUUAUCAUAGGCAGUGCUUGGAAUUCACUCAGACCUGCUUUUCGGGGUAAAAGCUCACAAUCUUCCCUAAGAUGGUUCGAUCUGACAAAGGCACAUGAGCAUAAGUCCCUUCCUAGAGGUGUUGCUUUUGGAUAAACAUUCUCUUAUUCCUGUUGUCAAGAGAUGGAUGGGCCUGAUGCUCGUUGUUGUACUUUGUCGGUGUCAUUUGAUUGCUUCUGGGGUUUUCCUUUAUCCAUCGCCGAGGCAUAGCUUUAGCCUUGUAUGACUUUGCCCUUUGCAGGCAUGAUUCUUUUCAUGUGUGAAUUGAUGUUGUUUAUGUGCAUUCAAGUCAUGUAGAGGUCAGAUGAUUGUCCAUCGUGCUUGUAUCCCCUUGAUGUUUCAUUACGUGUCAAUAAAAAAUGCCCCUUGUCAGAAAAAAACUUUCAAUGUUGUUAUAAUAUUUCCUAAUAGGGUUGUAAUUUAACUUUCUCUAUUAUAUUAUACAUUUUUAUAUUUUUCAAGGGCUACUGCGGUAGGUGACAAAAAGGACGACGUACACAAAAGAUAAUUAAGAAACAACAAAUAAAAGAUAGAGAAGGGAAUAUGAUGAAGGAAACAUUAGUGAGCACAUAGAUAGUGAGAUGCUCAACUGAGGAAGGUAAUAGUCAGUGAUCAUAUAAAUAUCACAUUUAUUGUAUGGAUAUGCAUGCUAUUCAAGGAUAGAGUUUAAUAACAUCCAAAGAAAGAAAAACAAUCAAUGCAUUUGGCGUUAUAUAAACACUAGCACAUGGGCAUAGCUUUUACGACAUAUUGGCAAGAACAAUAGCAGGGCAAAGAAAAAAAGCUAGCUAACUACUUUAGUUUUCUUUAUGGUGCUUAUGAAGAACAGCGUGCAGGCUAUGUGCUUGGUGGCUCUUGUUAUCAUGUCUACCGUUUUAUUGCCCUCUCAUGUAGAAGGAAGAAUCAUGGAUACGAAGGAGAGGAGCCUCACAUUGUGCUUUCUUUGGAAACGCUGCACAAUCGAUCUAUGCCGGCAAAAUUGUUCAGCACGUGGAUAUGCUAAGAGUGAAAGCACCUGUGAUUCAUACAAAGAUAAUAAAUACUGCUGCUGCGCGACGGAUUGAAGGAUACAGCUGUGAUGGAUACUACACAUCAUAUCGCGUCCUACAUCUAAUUAUUUCUUGCAAAUAGCAAAUAAUGACUACCGAUGGAAUUGAUGUAGCAGAUUCAAUAAACUUUAAAUUUUACUAGUAA